rnacentral:rRNA from 1 species
UACGAAGGGGGCUAGCGUUGUUCGGAAUCACUGGGCGUAAAGCGCACGUAGGCGGAUUGUUAAGUCAGGGGUGAAAUCCUGGAGCUCAACUCCAGAACUGCCUUUGAUACUGAGAAGCUUGAGUCCGGGAGAGGUGAGUGGAACUGCGAGUGUAGAGGUGAAAUUCGUAGAUAUUCGCAAGAACACCAGUGGCGAAGGCGGCUCACUGGCCCGGUACUGACGCUGAGGCGCGAAAGCGUGGGGAGCGAUCCGG